rnacentral:rRNA from 1 species
CGUGUAGGCGGAUAUAUAAGUCAGAAGUGAAAUCCAAUAGCUUAACUAUUGAACUGCUUUUUGAAACUGUAUAUCUAGAAUGUGGGAGAGGUAGAUGGAAUUUCUGGUGUAGGGUAAAAUCCGUAGAGAUCAGAAGGAAUACCGAUUGCGAAGGCGAUCUACUGGAACAUUAUUGACGCUGAGACGCGAAAGCGUGGGAGCAAACA